ACAUUUUGUCAUCAACCGAGACCCACCAUGCAUCGCUUCCGGCGACGCCUAGCCUGAUAAACACGCAGCUAACUUUUGUUUGCUAAUGCGAUCACUGUACACAUUCUUGAACUAUUUCGCAAGUUUAUUGUCAUUUGGAUAUCAAAACCAGACUUAGAUGGACCUACACGCACAGUACGCAGCUGACAGAAGAUGCCAAACAAAAAAGAAAUAGUAUUUAGUUGUUGGACAAGACAACCUAAGUUUUUUGGAUACCUAAAAAUAUACUUCUGCUAGCAACAAGAGAUGAGAACACCUGACAAGGGCCAAAUCUGCAAUGGAAUAUCUGAUAGGCAGGACUUGGGCAAUACAAGUAAAAGUUCUGCAACUAGAGGCUUCAAAUUUGGCAUACUGAUUCAGUGUGGUCCUGUCUACAUAAUUACAUGUUGAAAUGUAUUAGGGCUGUAUAUUAAGAUUUUUAUGGCUGUUUGUGUGCAGGAAACCCCCAAAAAAUUGUAAAAUUUGGGGGGUACCCUCAUCUUUUUGUCAACUGUUGAUUUUCCUUUACUCAUAGGCCCAUGAGCACAUGUAUUUAUAUUCAGUACAUCAUGUUCAAUGUAAUUACAUAAAUAUAUUGAGUUUUGUCAACUAAGUUUUGUGAUAUUGCAUUUUUUGUGAAUUUAUAAAUUUGUACCAUAACGACCCAAAAUCUUCAAUAAAAGUCAGAAAAAUUAUUUUUUUCAAAAAUAAUACAGCUUUUUAUAUUUGUUAUUUGGUUGUUGUUAUUAUACAUUGCAUGUUUUGAAUUUAAAUUUUAAAAAAUGUUAAAAUCAGUUU